UUGGAGGGCAAGUCUGGUGCCAGCAGCCGCGGUAAUUCCAGCUCCAAUAGCGUAUAUUAAAGUUGUUGCAGUUAAAAAGCUCGUAGUUGAAUUUCGGGGUCAGUAGGUUGGUCGUGCCACUGGUAUGCACUGGUCUCACUGAUUCCUCCUUCCUGAUGAACCGUAAUGCCAUUAAUUUGGUGUUGCGGGGAAUCUGGACUGUUACUUUGAAAAAAUUAGAGUGUUUAAAGCAGGCUAACGCUUGAAUACAUUAGCAUGGAAUAAUGAAAUAGGACGAUCGAUCCUAUUUUGUUGGUUUCUGAAUCACCGUAAUGAUUAAUAGGGAUAGUUGGGGGCAUUAGUAUUCAAUUGUCAGAGGUGAAAUUCUUGGAUUUAUUGAAGACUAACUACUGCGAAAGCAUUUGCCAAGGAUGUUUUCAUUAAUCAAGAACGAAAGUUAGGGGAUCGAAGACGAUCAGAUACCGUCGUAGUCUUAACCAUAAACUAUGCCGACUAGGGAUCGGACGAUGUUAACUUUUCUUGACUCGUUCGGCGCCUUACGGGAAA
rnacentral:rRNA from 1 species